AGGGAAUCUUCCACAAUGGACGCAAGUCUGAUGGAGCAACGCCGCGUGAGUGAAGAAGGUUUUCGGACCGUAAAGCUCUGUUGUUGGUGAAGAAGGAUAGAGGUAGUAACUGGCCUUUAUUUGACGGUAAUCAACCAGAAAGUCACGGCUAACUACGUGCCAGCAGCCGCGGUAAUACGUAGGUGGCAAGCGUUGUCCGGAUUUAUUGGGCGUAAAGCGAGCGCAGGCGGAAGAAUAAGUCUGAUGUGAAAGCCCUCGGCUUAACCGAGGAAUUGCAUCGGAAACUGUUUUCUUGAGUGCAGAAGAGGAGAGUAGAACUCCAUGUGUAGCGGUGGAAUGCGUAGAUAUAUGGAAGAAUACCAGUGGCGAAGGCGGCUCUCUGGUCUGCAACUGACGCUGAGGCUCGAAAGCAUGGGUAGCGAACAGGAUUAGAUACCCUUGGUAGUCCAUGCCGUAAACGAUGAGUGCUAAGUGU
rnacentral:rRNA from 1 species